rnacentral:rRNA from 1 species
UUGGAGGGCAAGUCUGGUGCCAGCAGCCGCGGUAAUUCCAGCUCCAAUAGCGUAUAUUAAAAGUUGUUGCAGUUAAAAAGCUCGUAGUUGAACUUCGGGGUCUACCCAUUGGUCAGGCUUAAAUUGUCUGUACUGGUGAGAUGGAUCUCUACCUUCUGAGGAACUUUCAUGCCAGUUUAUUGGUGUGAUUGGAAAUCAGGACUGUUACUUUGAAAAUUAGAGUGUUUAAAGC